GUGCUUGCUCCCACAACUCAUAAACUAAAAUUGGAACGAUACACAUGAGAUUAGCAUGGCCCCUGCGCAAGGAUGACAGGCAAAUUCGUGGAGAGAUGGAAGACAACUCA
ensembl:snRNA U6 U6 spliceosomal RNA